CAUGUUCAAAAGAAAAAGGUUUUGAAAUUGGAAGGACGUUAUUAUGAUGUGUAUCAGCAUAGCAAAGGACAAUAAGCUGUUUAUACGAAGAUGCAGAAGAAUUCAACGAAAAUUGGAUAGGAGACGACGUGUACAUGGAGGAAAGGAUUUAAAGAGAGGAUCGAAGAAGGAGAAUGGUCAACCUCGCAAGCCAGGUAUCUUAAUCUAACAAUUAUUUACUAAAGUGGAGGAG